CCUAAUCCACCUUGACCAACAUUUCUGGUAACGAGUUUUACGCCUAGUCGGGCGAAGAUUGGAUACAUUAUCUUAUGAAACUGCAUCAUGUAGGAUUGUCGAAAAUUAUUUCUUUUCAAAAAGAGCAAAUGACACAAAGUAAGGUAAAUCA
rnacentral:ribozyme from 1 species